AGCGAACGCUGGCGGCAUGCCUAACACAUGCAAGUCGCGCGGCCGGCAACGGCAGCGGCGGACGGGUGCGCAACGCGUAGGAACGUGUCCACGGGUGGGGGACAACCCCGGGAAACUGGGGCUAAUACCGCAUGUGGCCUGAGGGCCAAAGCCGAAAGGCGCCUGUGGAGCGGCCUGCGUCCGAUUAGCUUGUUGGUGGGGUAACGGCCUACCAAGGCUGCGAUCGGUAGCUGGUCUGAGAGGACGACCAGCCACACUGGGACUGAGACACGGCCCAGACUCCUACGGGAGGCAGCAGUGGGGAAUAUUGGACAAUGGGCGCAAGCCUGAUCCAGCAAUGCCGCGUGGGUGAAGAAGGUCUUCGGAUUGUAAAGCCCUUUCGGCGGGGACGAUGAUGACGGUACCCGCAGAAGAAGCCCCGGCUAACUUCGUGCCAGCCGCCGCGGUAAAAC
rnacentral:rRNA from 1 species